rnacentral:rRNA from 1 species
AGAGUUUGAUCCUGGCUCAGAACGAACGCUGGCGGCAGGCUUAACACAUGCAAGUCGAGCGCCCAGCAAUGGGAGCGGCGGACGGGUGAGUAACACGUGGGAACAUGCCCUUCGGUACGGAACAACUCAGGGAAACUUGAGCUAAUACCGCAUACGCCCUAACGGGGAAAGAUUUAUCGCCGAAGGAUUGGCCCGCGCCUGAUUAGCUAGUUGGUGAGGUAAUGGCUCACCAAGGCUUCGAUCAGUAGCUGGUUUGAGAGAGCGACCAGCCACACUGGGACUGAGACACGGCCCAGACUCCUACGGGAGGCAGCAGUGGGGAAUCUUGGACAAUGGGCGAAAGCCUGAUCCAGCCAUGCCGCGUGAGUGAUGAAGGCCCUAGGGUUGUAAAACUCUUUCGGCGGGGACGAUAAUGACGGUACCCGCAGAAGAAGCUCCGGCUAACUUCGUGCCAGCAGCCGCGGUAAUACGAAGGGGGCUAGCGUUGUUCGGAAUUACUGGGCGUAAAGCGUGCGCAGGCGGCUUUUCAAGUCAGGGGUGAAAGCCCAGAGCUCAACUCUGGAAUUGCCCUUGAAACUGGAUGGCUCGAGUGCGGGAGAGGUGAGUGGAAUUCCCAGUGUAGAGGUGAAAUUCGUAGAUAUUGGGAAGAACACCGGUGGCGAAGGCGGCUCACUGGCCCGUUUCUGACGCUCAUGCACGACAGCGUGGGGAUCAAACAGGAUUAGAUACCCUGGUAGUCCACGCCGUAAACGAUGGACGCUAGCCGUUGGCAGGCUUGCCUGUCAGUGGCGCAGCUAACGCAUUAAGCGUCCCGC